rnacentral:ncRNA from 3 species
UACGGAGGAUCCAAGCGUUAUCCGGAUUUAUUGGGUUUAAAGGGUGCGUAGGCGGUUUAAUAAGUCAGUGGUGAAAUCUUGCAGCUUAACUGUAAAAUUGCCAUUGAUACUGCUAGACUUGAGUAUAGUUGAGGUGGGCGGAAUGUGUUGUGUAGCGGUGAAAUGCAUAGAUAUAACACAGAACACCAAUUGCGAAGGCAGCUCACUAAGCUAUAACUGACGCUGAGGCACGAAAGCGUGGGUAGCGAACAGG